GACGGAGGGUGCAAGCGUUGUUCGGAAUUACUGGGCGUAAAGGGCGCGUAGGCGGUCUGUUAAGUUCGGUGUGAAAGCCCCCGGCUUACCCGGGGAACUGCGCCGGAAACCGACAGACUCGAGUACCGGAGAGGAGGGUGGAAUUCCUGGUGUAGCGGUGAAAUGCGUAGAUAUCAGGAGGAACACCGGUGGCGAAGGUGGCCCUCUGGACGGAUACUGACGCUGAGGCGCGAAAGCGUGGGGAUCAAACAGG
rnacentral:rRNA from 1 species